AGGGCGCACGUGGCCUUUGGACUAACGGUCGCUUCCUUGCCCACAGUCACAGAUCCACUGACCAGGCAGGUCAUUUACGUCCUGGCCCAAUUCUUAGCGAAAACCACAGAACAAGCUGCGUUUGGUGAGGGUCUCAAAUAUGGGUGGAGUCUCUCAGCGUCAGAUGGGAGUGAACAGUUCUGAGAGCCUCAUUUCCAAAGCAAUUUUGGGUUUGUUGCUGCCUGACGUUUCUGUCCCACGCACAGAAGAUACAGAUGGGCAUCAACACAGAUGGUCCUUCCUUUUCCAGGCUCCCGUAGCUACCUUCAACGGUCGUCGUCGCUUUGGAGGAUUCGUCUUGGAACGGGGGCCUGCCUAUGUUUUGUGAGCUCUGUCCCUGGAGAGUCCUGCCAUGACUCUGCCAAGCAGGAGAAGGGUCUGGGGUCUCCAGAACCCUUAAGGAAAGUCGUUUGCACAGAAGAUAAGCAUUUUCUGUGAGUCGUGAGUACUGGAGGUGAGGAAGACUUGAGGCACAGGCCAAAAGAAAGGUCCCCUGGUUCAGUCAUCAUCUUCCUGCCUGAAGAGAAGAGCCACACCCACUGGAGCCAGGAGAGAGCCACCUCACUCUACAGUGUCCUUGAAGGGGCCACCAGAGUCUAUGUCUGAGAAGCCACACAAGUUUGUACCGCUCUGAAGAGGAAAAGAGCCAUGUUGGGGGAGUGCAGCCUGUGAAGGAGCAAGUAUCCCGGCGUACGUUAGUCCUGUAGAUUACAGCAUUUAUCUGGUCACUGUAGCCAAGGAGCAGGGAGCACAGUCCAGGUCACGACGGGUGAGGUGUGUUCUCUACGCACUGAAGUCUACUUUAUUUAUGUGCAUAGGGAUACUCUUAUACAUCAGAGGCUGUUCAGAUGUUCCUUGAAUCCUGCAAAGAAGAAUAGAGGUUUUCCUCUCUUGGUAGGCUUGCUCAGACAUGAGUGCACUGGACCCCUAAGCAACACAGCAUUGGCUGAAGCUGGUCAUGUUUUGUUUCCCUUGAUGUGGAAGAAGAGCUAGCUGCUGUCAUAACUGGAACAGGUACGGUCAGCUGCAGCCCAGGACAAGAGGCAAAACUGGGGUCUCAGAGCAAGCACUGAAGGUUAGAAGCCCCGGAGACUGGUCUCUCAAGGCUGUGUGACCCAGAUAAGCCAUUUAGCCCUUCAGAACAUCAUCUUUGACAGGGUCAGUGUCUUAGGGUUUGUUUUCAUUGCUGUGAAAAGACACCAUGACCAUAGCAAGUCUUGUAAAGAAAACAUUUAAUUGAGGGAGCUCUGCUGUGGGAUCCUAAAUAUUUCCUUCUC